rnacentral:tRNA from 1 species
GGGAUUAUAGUUAAAAUUUAAUAUCUAAUUUGCAAUUAGAAGAUAUCUUAAAGAUUUUUCUCA